rnacentral:rRNA from 1 species
CAGUCGCCGCGGUAAUACGUAGGUGGCAAGCGUUGUCCGGAAUUAUUGGGCGUAAAGCGCGCGCAGGCGGAUCGGUCAGUCUGUCUUAAAAGUUCGGGGCUUAACACCGUGAUGGGAUGGAAACUGCCAAUCUAGAGUAUCGGAGAGGAAAGUGGAAUUCCUAGUGUAGCGGUGAAAUGCGUAGAUAUUAGGAAGAACACCAGUGGCGAAGGCGACUUUCUGGACGAAAACUGACGCUGAGGCGCGAAAGCCAGGGGAGCGAACGGGAUUAGAUACCCCUGUAGUCCCUGUCUCUUAUACA